UAGAUUAUGACAUUGCCACACUUGAUAGCAAAUGCAAUUGAACACCACUAAAAUUUUCUAUUCAGUUAGGCUUCAGAUUUAUUCAAGAUUUAGCAAGAGACUAUGAGUUGGAAGCAGAAGUGGAAGGGUUGUUGAGUUACUUGUACCGUACCAACAUUUUCAUAGAAUCUUACCAUGCUACAUUAGUUGGACCCAUGGGUCAACAUCCACCACUCUAUCAGUUUUAUGUACAUUUAAGAGGCAUAGAGGAACAGUCAAGAGCUGGUUUAAUAGAGCAGUGAAUGGACAACCAGUAAGGCGUGUAGAGUAUAGGGUCAACACUCGACCGAAAAAUGACAUCAUCAUUAACACUGCUUGGGAGAAAUGUGAGAAUUGAAUUUACAAUAUGGAAGAUUUUAUUAGAAACGUUUCUCAUACUACCGAGCAGUUGUUAAGAAAUGAAAUUGGAGAGUCUAAUUUCAUAGAACGUUCUGUUGUAAUACCUGAUGCACCAAUUCGACCAUUGGCACCACCUCCUGUAUUACCAGCCCGACCGCUACCUCAAAUCCAAGCAAAGGCUCAAAUAUGACAUGCUCCAAUAGAAGAUUGUGACCUCUUAUAAGUACAGGAUGUAGGGCAGCGAUUAAAUGGAAGGACACAUUGGGAAGAAUUUUUUCAGGCAAUUGAAGAUGAAAUUCAAGAAGCACAAGAGGACUGAAUAAUUUGUUUUGAUCGACCUAGCAAAGUCACAUUAAUUCCUUGCAGAAAUACAUUUUGUAAUCUCUGUCACUAGGCUUGUAGCCAAUGAAAAUACAACAUGCUCACUCUGUAGCGGUAUAAUUCGGUUGUACUUAAAUUAUGGCCAUCCCAUAUAAAUAUUUGGUUUAGUUUUAUUUAAUUUACGUUUGUUAUGUAUUAAGUUUUUUAAAGUGUUUAUAGGUAAUUUUAUUUUGUUUAGUUUUAUUUUAUUUUAAUAGGUGCCUGCUACCUAUAUUAAGUGAUUUAAGUCUGUUAAUUCAUAUUUUGUUUUAUAUAUCAAAUUGUUAAGUCAUC